rnacentral:rRNA from 1 species
UACGUAGGGUGCAAGCGUUGUCCGGAAUUAUUGGGCGUAAAGAGCUCGUAGGCGGUUUGUCGCGUCUGCUGUGAAAACCCGAGGCUCAACCUCGGGCCUGCAGUGGGUACGGGCAGACUAGAGUGCGGUAGGGGAGAUCGGAAUUCCUGGUGUAGCGGUGAAGUGCGCAGAUAUCAGGAGGAACACCGGUGGCGAAGGCGGUUCUCUGGGAAUGUCCUGACGCUGAGGCGCGAAAGCCAGGGGAGCAAACGGG